rnacentral:rRNA from 1 species
UAAGUGGUGGAAUUAAACCAACUGGGAUCUCUUCAGUAAUUGCGCAUGAACCAGGAUAUGCUUAGCUUGACAAAUGGAGCUGCUGGCUCUGAAUUGUAUUGUGGGAAUGUAUUACCCAACAGAGGUGCAGGUGUCAGCCAUUUGAAAGAAGGCAUCAAUGAGGGUGAGAGUCCUGUUUGUCAUGUGCAGCCUUCUGUGCACGGUGUAUAUUUGCUGAGUCACACUCCUUGGCAUUGGAAUGCAAAGUGGGUGGUAAGUUUCAUGCAAAGGUAAAUAUGCAAUUGAGACUGAUAGCGCACAAGUACCAUGAGGGACAUAUGAAAAGGACUUUGAAAAGAGAAUUAAAUGAGUUUGUAUUUGCUAAACACAAAGUAAACAGACUUGAUUUCCUCAGUGAGAUUGUAGUGCUUGCUUAACAAUGGGUUUUGGCUGCAAGUGCAAUAAUUCUUGCUUUGUGUGCCAGUUUUUAUGUGGACAUUUGAUUACCUUUGCACAUGAAUGGUAAUUUCCCUGCGGGGUGUGGAUUGCAUAUGCAUGUAAUGAUUUGCAUGUUUGUUAAAUGUGUCUGGUGUAUUUGUUUGUGUCCUUGUCCUUGAGGUUGCUUUCUCCCUUGGGCUUACAUGCCCUGGCACACACAUUCUGGCAAAAUGCUUCUGCUUGACCCG